CAUCUAUUGCUUGUGAAGUCGGUGGUCGCCGUUCACUUCAACGAUGAACUCAACACUCAGUUUAAACCGACCAGUUCGAAAUUAUACUCUCGGCAGCUUUAAAAACCCUAAAUUGAUAGAAGCUAGGCCUUCUAGACAUCAGUUACGUUCUCAUUUGAUCGACUUUUCAAAGCUUAAAUGGUUCAGAAAUGUAAAUUCGAGGACCGGUUCGAGUGUUCAGCAGCAGCUACGAGAUUACUCGUGUGAAUCGAGAAGAAUUACGUCUCGUCGAAUUAGGGUUUCGUCCAACGAUGCUCAGUUCGGUUCGUUUCCUAACAAAGGCGGGGCUGAGUCAUCGAGUUUUGCCGAGUUUAUCACAUCCGAGCGUGUUAAAGUGGUGGCGAUGCUGGCUUUAUCUCUGGCGCUUUGUAAUGCAGAUAGAGUCGUGAUGUCAGUGGCGAUUGUGCCGUUGUCACUUGCUCAUGGGUGGAGCCGGUCGUUUUCCGGUAUUGUUCAGUCAUCCUUUCUGUGGGGUUACUUAAUUUCACCAAUAGCAGGAGGGACAUUAGUGGACUAUUAUGGUGGUAAGGCUGUAAUGGCAUGUGGUGUGGCAUUGUGGUCAUUAGCUACAUUUCUUACACCCUGGGCUGCUGAAAACUCUUUAUUGGCAUUACUUUUUGCAAGAGCUAUGCUUGGUGUUGCAGAAGGUGUAGCUCUUCCUUGCAUGAACAAUAUGAUAGCAAGAUGGUUUCCAUCAACAGAACGUGCAAGGGCUGUUGCAAUGGCAAUGGCUGGGUUUCAGCUUGGAAAUGCAAUAGGACUCACUUUGUCCCCAAUUCUCAUGUCCCAAGGUGGUAUAUUCGGACCAUUUGUGAUAUUCGGACUAUGUGGAUUUCUUUGGGUUUUAGUAUGGUUAUCUGCAACCUCAAGUACCCCUGAUCGAAGUCCCCAGAUCUCAAAAUAUGAGUUGGAUUACAUAAUGAACAAGAGACAGAAAUCCCAUGCAGUGGAAAGCAAGCCUAAGACCAAAAUGAUCCCUCCAUUCAGAAGAUUGCUUUCUAAAAUGCCAACAUGGUCCCUAAUUGUUGCAAAUGCCAUGCAUAGCUGGGGCUUCUUUGUUAUUCUCUCAUGGAUGCCUAUCUACUUUAACUCGGUCCAUCAUGUUGAUCUCAGACAAGCAGCAUGGUUUAGUGCUGUUCCAUGGUGCAUGAUGGCGCUAACAGGAUACUUAGCUGGUUUAUGGUCAGACACAUUGAUAAGGAAUGGUACCAGCAUCACUUUGACUCGCAAGAUCAUGCAGUCCAUUGGUUUUGUUGGUCCUGCGGUUGCUCUUGUUGGCUUAACUGCAGCAAAAACUCCUUCAACUGCAUCUGCUUGGCUUAGUCUAGCUGUUGGACUUAAAGCAUUCAGUCAUUGUGGUUUCCUUGUCAACCUUCAGGAGAUUGCUCCACAUUAUUCUGGUGUUUUACACGGAUUGUCAAAUACUGCCGGAACAUUCGCUGCUAUUAUUGGAACGGUUGGAGCUGGUUUCUUUGUGGAGCUGGUGGGAUCAUUCCAAGGAUUUUUGUUGCUUACAUCGCUCUUAUACUUCCUUGCUGCUCUAUUCUACAUUAAAUUUUCCACUGGAGAGAGAGUCAACUUUGAUGAAUCUGCAGAUUCAUGAACAAGUUUUUAGACUUGUGGUACUAAACCUUAGUUGUUGAGGAUGGCGUGUGGAGCGUGAAGUGUGAAAUCAUCUCGGGCAACAAGAGAAGGGUUUCGGGGUGACUGCUUGAUACGAUCACAAGUCGAAGUCUAAAUGGAGGUUUCAGUCGACGAUCGUGAAGUGGUCACGGGUUCGAGUAUAACCGGGAGCCAGUUGACUGUCGUUAUGCCGUCACAAGUUCAAGCUUUUUGGACACCCACAGUCAUUAUGUUUUUCGGUAUAAUCAACGUAAUUGUUUUCUCUAUUUUUAGGCAUUUGGUUUUUUUAACCUUUCAUUCUUAUCCGAACGCUGACAACGAGGUGGACACAAGAGGGCUCUCAAAAGGAGAGCAGAUAUUUCGGCGGAAGUAGAGGUCAAACUCGGGUCAACGCGGCAACGAUUGUAAUUAUUAGUGGGUUGUUUAAUAACGGCAACUGUUGUCGCCCAAAAAAAGAGGAUCACUUUUACUCUACCGAAAUAGUCACUCCUCGCCUAAGAGUCCUCUUGAGUUCAUAGUGGUGCCAACCUCCGGAUAAGAAGGAAGGUUAAAUAUAUUAGUUGUGUGGAAAUGGAGAAAAAAAUUACGCCGAUUAUAACGGGAAGCAUCACAGUUUUUCCCUAUGAUUAUGCUUGUGUAACGACCGUCAACUAGUUCCGUUAUUAUACUCUGAUCCAUGAUUACAUAACGAUCGUCGAUUAAGACCUCUACGUAGACUUCCACCUGUAAUCGUAAAAAAUAAAAUAACCAUAGAACCCAACAUCCACAGGAUAGGAUUUAGAGGUAAUGAUUUCAUCUCCACAGGAUAUAUGAAAUGUGUUCGUCUUGGAGCGAUAUCGCAUCACCGACGACUUAAGAAUACUUCAAACCGGAAAUUUUAUUAGUGACGAAAAUUUUUAACAUUGAAGCGGGGAAGAAAACGAAAAGAAAUCUUGUAAAGUGUCAGGAUAAAGGUUAGGAGUGAUGAUGUUUUAGGGAUGAUGGAGUAUGGAGGGAGAGCCCUCUUUUAUAAAUGCGGGAGAGGGUGAGAUUGCAAAGAAAAAUAUCUUCAUGGUCGAAAAUACGUUGCAGUACCAACGUUUUCAUUGAAUAUCUUCAAAACAUGAGUCAAAUUUGUAAAAAAGUUCUCGGGAUCAGGUUUUUUUUUUUUUGCAGACUUAAUGAAAAUGUUUGUGAAAACUCAUCCAAUUGGGCGAGCUUCCCUACUGACAUGGCAAGAAAGCGCGUCCAGCUAGGUGCGCUUUCCUGUCAUGGCACUAAGGAAGCUCACCUAGCUGGAUGAGUUUUCACUAACAUUUUCAUAAAGUGCAAAAAAAGUACUUGACCUCAGGGAUCUCGGGUAAAAUCUUCAGCACGUUUUGAAGCAUUGAAUAUCCUCUGAAGCAUGUGUCUGAUGAAAUUAUUUGAUCUGUGAAA